ACCUGUGUGGUGUAGUGGUUAUCACAUCUGUCUAACACACAGAAGGUCGGCGGUUCGAUCCCGCCCUAGAUC
rnacentral:tRNA from 1 species